CGGGGGGGCAAGCGUUGUUCGGAAUUACUGGGCGUAAAGGGCGCGUAGGCGGCUCGCUAAGUCGGGUGUGAAAACUCUGGGCUCAACCCAGAGCCUGCACUCGAAACUGACGAGCUAGAGUUCUGGAGGGGAAAGCGGAAUUCCUGGUGUAGCAGUGAAAUGCGUAGAUAUCAGGAGGAACACCGGUGGCGAAGGCGGCUUCCUGGACAGAAACUGACGCUGAGGCGCGAAAGCUAGGGGAGCAAACAGGAUUAGAUACCCUGGUAGUCCUAGCCCUAAACGAUGGAUACUUGCUGUGAGGGGGAUUGAAUCCCUUCGUGGCGAAGCUAACGCAUUAAGUAUCCCGCCUGAGGAGUACGGUCGCAAGGCUG
rnacentral:rRNA from 1 species